rnacentral:rRNA from 1 species
GUCAGCAUGGCCUUUAUGUCCUGGGCUACACACACGCUACAAUGGCCAACACAAUAGGUUGCUAAGCCGCGAGGUGGAGCCAAUCCUCAAAGUUGGUCUCAGUUCAGAUUGCAGGCUGCUAACCCGCCUGCAUGAAGAUGGAGUUGCUAGUAACCGCAGGUCAGCUAUACUGCGGUGAAUACGUUCCCGGGGCCUU